CGCCCCCGCGCCCUCGCCCGGACGCUCCGCCCCCGCAAACCUGGCCACUGGAGGCACGUGAGGUCCAGGCUCCUGCCCUGCCCGCCCCUGGGCUUUGGUCACCCGCGGGACUGGGCACGCACAGGCACACAGCAGAGCCGUCCACAGACCCGGCCCAGGGGCCGCCGGGAUCAUCCCGCCCAGUCGAGCUCUUGGGCCCCCUUGAAGCCUAGGAGUGUUUUCUCAGAGAGAAAGCAGCACGCUUCUUGCGCAUUUGCACAUCUCCAACGCAGCGCUUCGGCCUGUCCUCCGCACUGGAGACUCAGGUGCCUCCGCCCUCCUGAGAGCAGGGGCGGCCUCUCUGCUGAGAGUUCUGAUUGUCAAGCUCCCAGAACUUUCAGAGUUCAGUCCGCCCAGCGUUCUUGUUUACCAGUUGAGGAAACGGAGGCCCAGGGAGGCUGUGCAGCGCGCCGGCACUCACACACCUGGUGGGGACAAAUGUGGACUAGGAUAUCUGGGACCGAAGUCUUGGCCUCCAGCUCCCUCUUGCCUCCCACUUACCUUUCCAGGAAGAGGCCCACGAAAGCUAAGACCCCAAGGCCCAUGUGCACCAUACUGCAGCCCUGCUCUGUCCACCAUUUCUGAGAUCGGCGCCCCACAGAGGGAGAGCAUCUGCCCAGACUGGCUUUUUGCACCCCUGCUCAAGCCUGCACCCUCGUCCAAGUCCUAGCCCCACUGAACGCUAUGCCUGGUCAGCAGUGCGUGUCAGGGGUGCCUGGCAGAGUGUGCAUUUUCCGUACACCCAACCUGUCUCUGCCUCUCCCCAGGCCCUCACAGCAACCAGGCCAGGCGAGAAGCUUGGGAGAUAGAUACUCAGAGGAGGCACUGUGGGGCCAUCUGAAGAUCCUGCGUCCCCUGUCACAGCCUUUAUGUCACUCAGGGUCCAUGACUGUGCUAGAAGCAUGUCCCUGAGGCCCAUGGUGGUGGGAGGAGGGUGUGGGAUUCGGAUCUGGGCACCUGGCUGUGCUGCACACCAGUUGUGUAAUCAUGAUCAUCUGCUCUAAACACGUAUCUUUAACAUUCGAGAGGAAUGACCGCCUGGUGGGGUUGCCAUGGAGAGUACGUGAGAAAUUAAACCUCACAGGUGCUUAGCAAAAGUUAAUUCGCUCUUCUCUGAAGGCUUAAAGUGCUAAUCCCCUGGCGAGGGGGGAGGUCCAGUGAAAAUACACAACCCCUGGCCACAGGUUCCAUUGUUGUCUGGACUCCUCUGACCAGUGGACAGCCCUGGACCUGGGUUCUCAGACCUGAGUCAGAACCACGUGGAGGACACCAUAGAGCUUAGGCUGCUGCCCCUCACCGCUGCCCCCCUCUCACAGGAUCUGGGGUGGGGCCUGGGAAUUUGCAUUUUAACAUGUUUCCAAGUGACCCUGAAGCUGCUGGCCCUGGGACCACACUUAGAGAACCCCUGGUUCAGGCUAUGGGGCCUGGGCCAGGCUCGCCGUCUAGCAGAGGAUCAGACCCCAGGUUGGAGCAUAACCGUCAUGAUGGCUCCAUUCAUCAGGCACCUGCUGUGUCCCCGCACGCCCAGAUCCCUGCCACAGCGCAGCCUCCCUAGAGAAGUGACAUCCAAUGCUCGAGGGGAAAUAAAUCAAAGGUAGUUUAUGUCUGUCUUUUCCUUCUGGUGAACAUGGUUUUAGGAGGACUUGACUGCACUGUGGUGUGCUCUCUCUUUUGCCGUUAUUAAAAAUAAGAAAGGCAGGCCUGUUUGAGUCGCUGAAGGAUUUGUACAAUAGAGUUUCUAGUCAGUGGAGCGUCCCAUGUUUAAAUAUGACCCCGACUUCCUGUCUGUCACAUAUGGCAAUUAAACAGGUUCAGCAGCAUAGGGGAGUGAAGUGAGUGGUAGGACAGAAAACAUCGCAGCAGAUUCCAAGUGGCAGAGAGAGCGUGGGCACGGGGUGGACCGAUGGAACUUACAGGGGCUUGUGCUUUCCUCGCUGGGCAGCCUGGGCCACUUGCUUUACUUCUCUGGCCCAGAGACCACAGGCUUACAUAUAGACAGACCUACACUACCAGCUGGGGCCUGAGUCACAAAAGACAGAAACUUCCCCUGGCUACUCUAGCAGGAAAGGGAUUUUUGCAAGAAUAUGGAGUAAGGCAUAGGCAGGGGGAGGUGUGCUGACCUGGGAAACAGGCAGCCAGCCGGCUACGGCAGCGGCAGCAGCCAGAGCUCACCAGACAGACUGCCCACUAGGGAGGCUGGGGCUGGUGCCUCUCCCUGCAGCUUUGCUCCUAGACUCUGGCCUCCUGUAAUCUCUGCCGACGAUCCCUGCGUCCCUGGUCCUUGACCAGCUCCAAAGAUGUAAAGUCCAGGACCACCCACGUGUUGCUGUCUGACUGCUGAGAUGGAGUUUCACCACGUUGGCCAAGCUGGUUUUGAACUCCAGACCUCAAGUGAUCUGCCCGCCUCGGCCUCCCAAAGUGCUGGGAUUAUACAUGUGAGCCACCGUGCCUGGCCUUGAGUUACAUUUUCAUGGGGACUUGGGACAAUCGGAAAUGCAUCCACCACACUUGCAGACUGACUGGUGAUCCUGAAAUGAUGGCGUGUGGGAGAGGCAUGGGCUUCCUUUAAGAGCCGCCAGAGCCAGGGCAGGGGCACCUUGUGCCUUGACAUAAGGAAGGCUCCCCUGCCAGGAUAGACAGAAGAGCUGCCGAAGAGGUGGAGCCAGGCAGGGGCCACAGGCCCGUGAAGGUCUCAGCAGAGCCCCCAGGAGAGUUGGACUUGCUGCAAGCAGAGCCUAUGGCUCUGCGGUUCCAGGAGAACUGUUUGUGCCCCUUGCCCCACUGCCUGCCAGCUGUCCCCAAAAGGACCAGAGGAUCAGAGUAGCCCACUCCAGACGAGGUGCGGGCACCAUGCUGUUACCAUCUGCUGCCCCUCUUUCCAUCUUUCCAUCUUACUUCCUGCGUGGCCCAGCAUCCAGGCUGUCUAGGGCCGUGGGAGACCUGGAGAGCCAUUAAAAACAACAACUGGCAGCACACAGGCAUUUUUUGGCAGCACACGGAAACUCACACGGAACAGACAGGGAGCCGGAGGUGAGCAGAGUUACCUGUAUUUCUCUCACCACCUGAGGAAAUUGGGGUUCAAAGGGGUAAAGCACCUUGUGUGUUGGCCCCAGGGGUGAAGCAGGAGGGGCCAGGCCUCUAGGAGGACUGGCACAGUUGGGUCAAGGACAGGGGAGCCAAGAAUGUGGGGUGCGGUCAGGACCUGGGAUGGCCAAGCAGUGUGAGGUGAGCCAGAGGCCCAAGGUCUCUGAGAUGCUGCACAGAGGGGCAUUGAAAGGAGCCAGGAUUUGAGGAGGAGAAGGGAGGAGGUGGGGGAGGAGGGCUCUUAUGCAGACCUGGGGUGUGGGGAGGGGAUGUUCACUGACCCCCCCGCCCCACCCUCACCCGCAGGACCGUGGCCAGGCUCCACCCUGGAGGCAGCAGAGCGAGGAACGUCUAAUGGGGAUCCCGUGUGGAUGCCUUUAGGGAGCUCUGCUGUAUACCUGUUACCUCUCACCCUCAAUCACACCUCUGGGGCCUGGAGCUGCUGGGGACACAUUGACUGGAAGGGGCUUGGGGGCACAAGGAGUGAGAGCCAGAGAAGGGCAGGGCAGCCCAGGGAUUGGCAGAGCUGGCCUCAGAAGCUAUUGGUGCCACUGAGAUUCAAGUACCCCCUGCUUCUUCCCCAAGUCACAGACAGGGUGAAGACAGAGGCAGGAUUCAAGCCCAGAGCCCAUGCACUGCCCUCAUUCCCUGACUGGAGUGUAUUCCUGGCAGGGUGACCUGGAAGGGGCCCCCCCAGCACACUAGCUGACCUACUUCUGCCUGGUCUGAGAAGCCUGUCCUACAUCACUCAACCUGAACACAGGGGAGGCAGGGGAAGAGGCAGGAGGGUCCUCCUAUGACCAGGACCACCCCCAGGGCCCGUGCUGCGGCAAGGGCAAGGACCCCUGCCUCCUUGUGCCCCUGCUCCCCACGUCUGAACGUGGACAGGACUGAGGUUGCCCUCUGUAAGGACUGUGGAGGCUCCAGGCUGGGAGAAGGUGGAAGGUCCCAGAGCCCCGGAGCCUGGCUCUGCUGCCUAAUGCUGGAGCAAGUCACCUGACCCGCCUAGCCUCAGUGUUCUCAUUUGUGAAGGGGGCUGAUGAUAGUGCCAGCUCUCAGAGCUGUUGUCUUCACCCUUGGCUUUCAGUGUCAUGGUCGUGAAGCCCACUCAUACGUGACCUCAAUGAGAUGGCCAGGUAUGUUUAUCAGCACUUUUGGGAUAAUGAUUCUCCCCUCCCAUGGUGACUGUGAGGGGCAUGAGUGUGGCCAGCGUGCAGCCGAGAAAACAGAUGUGAGCCCUCUCGUUUAGGAAGGGAAGGUGGGACAGGCAGGCAGGACUCCUUGUGGGCACCUGUUGAGGGGGCCUCACCAGGCUGCAUGGCCUCAAGGGCUGCUUUCAUUGAUUCAUCUACAGUGUAUAGUUAUUUCCAAUCAACUCAAUACAGCAUUCAUUUGAAAAAUGUUUCAGUCAUUGAGAACAGUCUGCUUUGCCUGCCCUCAGAGGACUCUUGGAAAUAAAUCAACAAACAGAAAAUUACAAGAUAAGUUAAGUGCUAUUAAGGUAAAACAUUCAGGGUCGAGAGAGGGAAGAAUGACCUGAGUGGCCACGGAAGUCCCCACUGAACCCUGGAGGCUGAGAGGCAUGGGGAGGUUCAGGGAAAGAGGGUCCUUGUAGGGGGUAAGUGCAAAGGCCCUGGGGCCACAGCACAUUUAGAGAGGCAGAAAACUCACAUACAUGGCUACACUUUAGGGAGCACAGAUGAAGAUGGGGGAGAUGGAGUAGAAGCUAGGGUGGGGCACAGCAAGAGGGCCCUGGAAGCAGGGGAGGAAUGUGAAGGACCCUAAGCUGAGCUGGCAGGGGAGGAAGCAGAAAAUUUUUUUUUUUUUGAGAUGAGUCUCGCUGUCGCCCAGGCUGGAGUGCAGUGGCACGAUCUCGG
rnacentral:lncRNA from 10 species